rnacentral:lncRNA from 1 species
AGAGCUCUCUCACAUUUAGAGUGAAGAUAAGUAUGGUAAAAGGAAGGGCCCACUUCCUCUUGUCAGCUAUAAAACUGGUGACUUCAUCAAUAGCCCCUCAGUUCUGGUAGGAGGUCGUGAGUGUCGUAUCAAGUCGGGACACGCCCCUGUAUGAUCUUGCUUGGAUCCUAAAUUUGAAAGGAGAAAAUGAUUGAUUUCCCCAAAAGAAUUUCCAUGCCUUUCUUCUUUCCUGUGUGCACUGAGAUGUUCUACAGAGCAAGUCCUUGCUCUCUCUAUGACUAGAGUGUAGUCGAUAAUAAGGGUAAUGGCACACCCACAAGGGUGGGUCGUUCACAGCCAACAAACAGAAAACUGGGCCCCAACCUAUGAGUUGCCCAGUUACACAGCUCAACCUGGCAUCUCCCUGACAAAUGCCAGGAUAUUAUUCCUACCUAAGGCCUGUUAUGACUCCCUAGGGAAACAACCCAGUGUCCUCCAUUGCUCUCCCUUGGACCCCAAACUUUUCCUUUCUUCUCUGGGUGGUCCGUAGGCCCAUUUCCAUUUGUAUGUGCCAGUAUGUCUGUGUCGUGAGUGUGAUGGUGCCUUUCACACAGAGAUUUCACAGAACCACUCUCAUGCCCUACCCGGCCUGCCCCCCCAUCCCCACCCCCACUGCCCAUGGUGUGACUGUUUUGCUAUUCAAGACUCUCUGUAAAAAAAUGUACAAAUAAAAGUAAAAGCUGAAAAUUAAGGGGAGGGGAAUUGCAUCUUCUUAAAUGCUGUAAUGUAGCCCUCGGUUUUCUGAGGGUCUGUGAGGACUGCCCUAGAAUCCUGACUCUGGGGGCACUUGAAGGGAGGGAACGCCUGUCACAGAUUUUUCUGGUUGUUUUCCUGAUGGUCGCUUCUGCUUGCUUGGUAUUCUCUGUUCUGAAGACUUUUGCCUUUAAAGUUAAGUAGGUCUCCCCCCACCCCCAAAUAAAAGCAUAUCAUCCAAGUUAGAAUAGUGAAGGUCAAGGCCGGUGUCAACUCCAAGACAUGGCCUGGGGUGAUAUUAGUGAUUUUGUUAAUAGCUCACCUGGAACCUUGGGUGAAUCUUGUGACCUCACUGUGUAUCCAUGUCCUCUCAGCCUCACAGGAAGCAGGGUGACAUUGGGGACACAUGUAACACCCAGUCUCCCUGUCCAUUCUGCUGCUAUUUGUGCCCAUGCUGGCUGCCGUAUGCUGACUGAGCUGAGGCAGUUCAGGAGAAGCUCUCUCCCUGUUGCUCUGGCCCUAAGCUGACUCGCCUCAGAAAGUAACCUCAAGCCAGCAGCCAGUUUGAGUGCAGAGUCCAAAGCCUUUGAUCUACCUUUUCAGUCUCAGAUGCCUUUUCCCACCCACUUUGAUGAUCUCAUCUUGCUCUCUGCUGACAGAGCUUUGCCUCACAGGACUGGGGUAGGAGAAAGACCAUCAAAGGUGAUGGUGUGAGUGAAUCGCUUUACCAACUGUGGCUGGCUCAACGAAUGUGGCUUACUGCAUAAAGAAGCUCAGGCUGCCCAGGGGACGCUAUAAAAUGGGGAGGGGAAAAAAGAAGGUGGUUCUGGGGAUGGGGUGGAGGUUGUGGGUAGAAGAUGUGGUUAGAUAAACUUAGAGGUUAAUGAAGAAAUGUUUGUGCUUCCAAAAGCCCCUCAGAAACAUCCCCAAGGCAGUAACCCUGGCAGGAUCCAGGACAUGGAUAAUCCUGGAGUACAAGAGGCUGCUAGGGAGGAGUGGUUGCCCAAGAGAGAUACACAAAUUUGGCCUGUGCUAGCACCCUUACACUCAUGGUUACAGGCCCUUCAGUCUAACACUUCCUCAUUCCUAAUGGAGCUUGGUGACCCUCCUUGAGAAUUGUAUAAGGAAGGACUUAGACCACCGCUGUCCAAUAAAAUUUGAUACAAGUUGUGUAUGAAAUUUGAAUUAUUCUACUACCUGGGUUUAAAAGCACCAACAAAACAGGUGAUAUUAAUUUCAAUGCUAUAUUUGAACCCAGUAGAUCAAAAGAUAUUAGCACUUCAAUGUGGAACCAGUGUAAAAGUCACUGGCAUGUUUUAUGUUCUGUCUAUUUCAAGUAAAAUCUUCUAAACCCAAGGUGACUUUUACCCUGAGAAAACCUCUCCAACUGGAUCAGCCACACCUUGAGUGCUCAAAAGCUGCACCAGGCUUUUGUGACCAUCUAGGAGAACAGACUUAAGUCUUUUCAGAGCCUGAGCAGGGUGCCCAUUGCCAGUGAGUCACACACUGUGGUGGAUUUCCUUGUGGGAACAAAGACAAAGGCUGGAUUUGCUGAAUAGAAGCUGAGCUAUGACCAUGAUGCUGGCUCACUUUUAGAAGCUCUACUUUACCUGUGUAGUAAGGGGAGAGAGUCACUGCUGUGAACCAACCACAUGUUAUGCCUGCCUCAAGAGCUAUCAGUGCUCUCCUUGGACAUGGCCCUGAUGAUCUAAGUCCUAGGAAGAAAGCAGGCCAUGGCCUUUGGCUGCAGGAGAGUCAGCCGCGGCCCACCCUAUCCAUGUAGAUGUCUUAUAUCUCAUGAUAAGGGAUAGACAGACCUCCCUGUUGCUAAGAAUAAACACCUCUCCCAUCUUUUAAUAUCUGGUGGAGUCUCCUGCUAAAAGCAUCUCACUGAUAUUUGGAGCUGUUUGAUUCAUCCUCUAAUUGCUUUAAUUUUUUUUUUAAAUCUUGAGUAUUGAAAAGGGGAUAUGGGAAAAGAAUAGCAGGCAGACCGGGUCUCCUAUGAGGUAGCAGAGACAAGUCCUAUCCUUAGACUAGGACUAAGACCACCAUUUCCUACCUCUCCUUUCUGCUUAGAGAUCUUCCUUAGAUCUAAAUAAGCCUCUUCUCUGUGUGUGAGAAAGACAGGUAGUGAGAUCUUAGGGCAUAGAACAGAAUAAAUAUAAGCAACCGGCCCCACCAAUCAUGUCAAAGAUCCAGUAUGAUAAGGCUUGAUUCACUUAAAAUAUAAUAUUCUGAGCCCUAUGCUGUCAAACAGGAGAAAGGGAGCUGGUGAGUACAUCGAGUAUGUGGUCAUUAGAAAGGGACCAGGGCCUACAAAACGCUCAAACACCUGGCGUGUUGAGGGUCUGCCAGAUUAUUGCUCAGUCAAUAUAAAUUUAUUUACCUUCACUCUAAUUUGCAUAGUGCUUUCUGAUUGAUUAGAUACAGUGUGGUGUAUACCGCAGGAUUCUAACAAGACUCUCUCCUCUUGGAGGUAGCAAUUCCUGUGGUUAUUGGUGCUAAAAUAAGAUUAAAUAUUAUGUUAAUUUGUUCUAAUACAAUUUGAAUAAAUGUAUUGUUUAAUCUUAACAAGAAUGCUACAUCUUAUCAGAUCUAUUGUACUGUCUGUUUCUUCUCAUAAUUAAUUAAUUACAGGAAAGGUGAUCCAAACCAGAUCUCGAAACUCUUGUGAUACUCUGAGAGGAACUUACCAGGGAAGUGGGAGGGGGAAUGAAAAGGGAAAUUGCCAGGUUCCUGUGACUUUGAAAGGACCGAGGAAGCAGAGAGCGAGCAUUUGGGGACUUCACUGAAACUGACUGCAUCUUGCAAUUUUCUUUUUCGAAUUGGCAGAAAUAUUGUUAUUUCCAUCGAUUGAAGAAAAAAAGUGUCUGGUAAUUAAUUAAAUGACUUGUUCAUGGAAAACAAUAAAAAUAAAUAAUCUGUCAGUUGUGGAAUGUAAACUGAUUAAACAAUUAAAUAAAGAAGACCAUGUUGUGUGUUUUAAAAGCCC